GUGGGGAAUAUUGGGCAAUGGGCGAAAGCCUGACCCAGCAACGCCGCGUGAAGGAAGAAGGUCUUCGGAUCGUAAACUUCUAUCCUUGGUGAAGAUAAUGACGGUAGCCGAGAAGGAAGCCCCGGCUAACUACGUGCCAGCAGCCGCGGUAAUACGUAGGGGGCAAGCGUUGUCCGGAAUGAUUGGGCGUAAAGGGCGCGUAGGCGGCCUGGUAAGUCUGGAGUGAAAGUCCUGCUUUUAGGGUGGGAAUUGCUUUGGAUACUGUCGGGCUUGAGUGCAGGAGAGGUAAGUGGAAUUCCCGGUGUAGCGGUGAAAUGCGUAGAGCUCGGGAGGAACACCAGUGGCGAAGGCGACUUACUGGACUGUAACUGACGCUGAGGCGCGAAAGUGUGGGGAGCAAACAGGAUUAGAAACCCCUGUAGUCC
rnacentral:rRNA from 1 species